CACAACUGUCCCUCUUUUCCUACACUCUCUCACGUCCCACAUUCUCAUUUUUCCCAUUUUCUUCCCAUUUUGAUUUUCAAUACUUUUUGCUAUUGUAAUUUAUCUGUUACUUUUUCCUCUAUUGUUUUAUUUAUCUCUUUCAUCUUAUUUCAUAUCCUUUCUCUUAAACAAUCUAUUUUUUAUUCUUUUCGAAGACACCAUUUGCUAAGGUUCUAUCGUUGCUUGUCUUUACUGUUGCUGUCUCUUCUAUUUUUUUUCCGUUGGAAUGUUUCGUGAGGCGUAAAACGUUCUCCAAUGAGUGAGGGGAUUCUCUUUUGGGGCUGCUGUUUGUUUGGAGUUUGGAGGGGUGACGAACUGUCGUGUUUCAAAAUCAGUAAGGCGUCUUUAGACUUAGGACCAAAUGACGUGGGGGAUCUUUGAUUGAUUUUCUGGUUGAGUAAAUAAAUCGGUUUAUGAUUAGUUUAUUUAUGAUCUUUUGGUUUGUAAAUUUAUUUUAUGGUUUCUGUUCAUUUUCGUCAGGUUUUGCUAUUUUUAACGUAAAACGAUGAUAAUGUACGAUUUAUCAGAUUCAAAAUCAGUUUUCAAAAUUAAAAUCGAUAAAAA